UACGGAGGGUGCAAGCGUUAAUCGGAAUUACUGGGCGUAAAGCGUGCGCAGGCGGUUUGUUAAGUCUGUUGUGAAAUCCCCGAGCUCAACUUGGGAAUUGCAAUGGAUACUGGCAGGCUGGAGUAUGGUAGAGGAAGGUGGAAUUCCCGGUGUAGCAGUGAAAUGCGUAGAGAUCGGGAGGAACACCAGUGGCGAAGGCGGAUCUCUGGGCCAUUACUGACGCUGAGGAGCGAAAGCGUGGGGAGCGAACAGG
rnacentral:rRNA from 1 species